AAUCACCACCUCCUCCAUCUUUGUCCAGCAGGCUCCUGAGAAACCCCGUGCUGCCUGCUCGCCGCCUCUCCUCGAAACCCCGAGCCCGUCUUCUUCCCCUCCUUUCUCUCUUCUCCAGUGAAGAUGGAAGCAAGCGAGGACCAAGUGAGCUCCUCAUCUCCUUUGCUCCGGCGAGAACAGCCCCGAGCCACCAGCGAGACCCUUCUCCUCUCCUUUGCUUCAACAAGAGAAGCCAACAGUCGCUGGCAAAUUGGACCAACAACCAUCAUCAACCUGAGCGCUGCUCUGACCAGCAAGCCCUAGCGCCGUUCCUCACAUUUUACGGUGAGGAAGGCAAAGACGAGCACCAAUAGAGUCUGGUCAACACACGGUUUGAGAUUUCGAGACGGAUCUUAAUAGAUUCGUGGAUGUUGUGUUUCUGGUUAUGGUAAAUUGCCACAAUUUUGAUAUUUUAUUGAAGUGAAAGUUUAAAAGAUCAAAGCUUUCAUUUAUGUUAAACUUGAACCAUACUGCUCCUAAUUGUAAUCUUGAAAACUCUAUUGGCACGUCAAGAUGAUAUUUUGAAACAGUUCAGCAGUUU